rnacentral:rRNA from 1 species
AGAGUUUGAUCAUGGCUCAGAGCGAACGCUGGCGGCGUGCUUAACACAUGCAAGUCGAGCGAGAAAGGGAGCUUCGGUUCCCGAGUAAAGCGGCGAACGGGUGCGUAACACGUGGGUGAUCUGUCCUUGAGGUGGGGAUAACUCAACGAAAGCUGGGCUAAUACCCAACAAGACCACAGAAAGCAAUUUCCGGGGUCAAAGGGUGCUUUUUUUGGGAGCAUCCAUUUGAGGAGGAGCCCGCGACCUAUCAGCUAGUUGGUAGGGUAAUAGCCUACCAAGGCAAAGACGGGUAGCUGGUCUGAGAGGAUGACCAGCCACACGGGGACUGAGACACGGCCCCGACUCCUACGGGAGGCAGCAGUGGGGAAUAUUGGGCAAUGGGGGAAACCCUGACCCAGCGACGCCGCGUGGGUGAUGAAGGCCUUCGGGUCGUAAAGCCUUGUCAGGAGGAACGAAUGUUUUUAGAGUAAAUAGCUCUAAAAAGUGACGGUACCUCUGAAGGAAGCACCGGCCAACUCCGUGCCAGCAGCCGCGGUAAGACGGAGGGUGCAAGCGUUGCUCGGAAUCAUUGGGCGUAAAGGGUGCGUAGGCGGCUUUUUAAGUCUGACGUGAAAGCCCAGGGCUUAGCCUUGGAAGUGCGCCAGAAACUGGAAGGCUAGAGUGCCGGAGGGGAGAGUGGAAUUCCUGGUGUAGCGGUGAAAUGCGUAGAUAUCAGGAGGAAUACCGGUGGCGAAAGCGACUCUCUGGACGGUAACUGACGCUGAGGCACGAAAGCGUGGGGAGCAAACAGGAUUAGAUACCCUAGUAGUCC